rnacentral:rRNA from 1 species
GAUGAACGCUGGCGGCGUGCCUAAUACAUGCAAGUCGAGCGAACGGACGAGAAGCUUGCUUCUCUGAUGUUAGCGGCGGACGGGUGAGUAACACGUGGAUAACCUACCUAUAAGACUGGGAUAACUUCGGGAAACCGGAGCUAAUACCGGAUGAUAUUUUGAACCGCAUGGUUCAAAAGUGAAAGACGGUCUUGCUGUCACUUAUAGAUGGAUCCGCGCUGCAUUAGCUAGUUGGUAAGGUAACGGCUUACCAAGGCAACGAUGCAUAGCCGACCUGAGAGGGUGAUCGGCCACACUGGAACUGAGACACGGUACAGACUCCUACGGGAGGCAGCAGUAGGGAAUCUUCCGCGAUGGGCGAAAGCCUGACGGAGCAACGCCGCGGGAGUGAUGAAGGUCUUCGGAUCGUAAAACUCUGUUAUUAGGGAAGAACGUAUGUGUAAGUAACUGUGCACAUCUUGACGGUACCUAAUCAGAGAGCCACGGCUAACUACGUG